GACAGAGGGUGCAAACGUUGUUCGGAAUUACUGGGCGUAAAGGGUGCGCAGGCGGCUCCGCAUGUCGGGCGUGAAAUCCCCGGGCUUAACCUGGGAAUUGCGUCCGAAACUAUGGAGCUGGAGUGUGGCAGAGGGAGGUGGAAUUCCACGUGUAGCGGUGAAAUGCGUAGAGAUGUGGAGGAACACCGAUGGCGAAGGCAGCCUCCUGGGCCAACACUGACGCUCAUGCACGAAAGCGUGGGAGCAAACAGG
rnacentral:rRNA from 1 species